CCUACGGGUGGCAGCAGUGGGGGAUAUUGCACAAUGGGGGGAACCCUGAUGCAGCGACGCCGCGUGGGUGAAGGAGUGCUUCGGCAUGUAAAGCCCUAUCGGCAGGGAAGAAGCAAGACGGUACCUGACUAAGAAGCCCCGGCUAACUACGUGCCAGCAGCCGCGGUAAUACGUAGGGGGCGAGCGUUAUCCGGAAUUACUGGGUGUAAAGGGAGCGUAGACGGUUAAGUAAGUCUGGAGUGAAAGGCCGGGGCCCAACCCCGGGACUGCUCUGGAAACUAUUGAACUUGAGUGCAGGAGAGGUAAGCGGAAUUCCUAGUGUAGCGGUGAAAUGCGUAGAUAUUAGGAGGAACACCAGUGGCGAAGGCGGCUUACUGGACUGUAACUGACGUUGAGGCUCGAAAGCGUGGGGAGCAAACAGGAUUAGAUACCCCGGUAGUC
rnacentral:rRNA from 1 species